AUUUUUGCCGCGCUCGUUCAGCUUCAGUACGUCGUUCACAUUUAAUCCGUUCGGUGCUUUUUGACUGUUUGGAACCUUUUUAAUAAUUACGUUGAAACGUUGUUGAUUCUUAUUAAAUAUUGUUUUGUUGAAUCUGAGGACGAACAAAAACAAAAACAACUCCCAAUCAAAGUCAAGGAAACCAAACAUAUGGCAAGACAACUCUAGGACAAACAACAAAAAAGGAAUACCUAAAAAAAAC